AUUGAACGCUGGCGGCAUGCCUUACACAUGCAAGUCGAACGGUAACGGGCCUUCGGGUGCCGACGAGUGGCGAACGGGUGAGUAAUGCAUCGGAACGUACCUUUCAAUGGGGGAUAACGUAGCGAAAGUUACGCUAAUACCGCAUAUUCUGUGAGCAGGAAAGCAGGGGAUCGCAAGACCUUGCGCUGAUUGAGCGGCCGAUGUCAGAUUAGCUAGUUGGUGAGGUAAAGGCUCACCAAGGCGACGAUCUGUAGCGGGUCUGAGAGGAUGAUCCGCCACACUGGAACUGAGACACGGUCCAGACUCCUACGGGAGGCAGCAGUGGGGAAUUUUGGACAAUGGGGGCAACCCUGAUCCAGCCAUGCCGCGUGAGUGAAGAAGGCC
rnacentral:rRNA from 1 species